UUCAUUGAUUUCUUCACAAUACGGAAAUACGACAUACGGAGUCAUGUGAGGACAUCUCCUACGAAACACGUGAAAUCACCGAGGACAGACUAUUGAUGUCCGUUACAGCAAACAUGUCGGAACCGAGAGUAAAACGAAUAAAAAACUUGCCUUCCCCUCUGUAAAACUCAAAUAUCUUCUGCUGGGAGUCUAGCGAGGGCAAAACUUCCCGACUGUGGUGGAGGAAAGUCUGUGUGGGGUUUCCACUUUGCUUCUGGAGGUCUCUUACAGACUGAAGCGCUGGCCAGAGUCUUUGAGCAGAGUGAUCUGACUCUUCCCAGAGUGUCUGUGUACUUUCAGCAGGAGUCAGUGAAGGAGCUAGAGCGGAGGAAAAUACUGCAGGAAGAACAUCCAGCUAACUCACCCGUCUAACCAGUUAACCAGCACAAGACUUGUCCCAAGUGCCCUCUAUUUCUUCUUAAAAGAAAUAGCGCCUAGAUAUGGAACAAAGAAGAGGCCAGGCACUGGAGAGGUGUGUGCCGUCCUCCCAGCUCUGGAUGUCAUGCUUACCCAGUGGAAGGAGGAGAUGAGCGUCAUGCUGGAGCUGCGUAGUCAAGAGUCAGUUCAUUCAGCCCCUCGUCCCAAAGGUCAAACUCGUCGGUGACCUCUUGACCAGCGCUCGCAGAGUGGGCUGCAGCGGAGUACCUCAUCGACCGGCUGCAAGAGACCGCUUAGACUUCCUCUUUGUUAAUCAUUUAGGAUGGUCGCACUGCAAAAAGUGAUUAUUCAAAGUAGUAAAGUAAAAAAAAACUACAAGAAUAGCCUAUUUCAUCUUAAUAUUUCACCUUAUUUCAUUUCAACUUAAUAAUUUAGUGUAUAAUUCAAUGUUACUUGCCAUUUCUUUGUGAUUAUUUGUGAAACUGACUAGCCUAAUAAUGUUUCAAAGUAAACCCAACACCUGAUUUUCUUUUGUGUGUGUCUUUGGCUCUUAAUAAGAUUAUAUAUUACACCUGUCU